GACGUAGGGCGCGAGCGUUGUCCGGAUUUAUUGGGCGUAAAGAGCUCGUAGGCGGCUUGUCGCGUCGAAUGUGAAAAUCUCAGGGCUCAACUCUGACAUUGCAUUCGAUACGGGCAGGCUAGAGUUCGGUAGGGGAGACUGGAAUUCCUGGUGUAGCGGUGAAAUGCGCAGAUAUCAGGAGGAACACCGGUAGCGGAAGGC
rnacentral:rRNA from 1 species